rnacentral:rRNA from 2 species
AUUAAUUUGAGAGUUUGAUCCUGGCUCAGGACGAACGCUGGCGGCGUGCCUAAUACAUGCAAGUCGAACGAACUCUGGUAUUGAUUGGUGCUUGCAUCAUGAUUUACAUUUGAGUGAGUGGCGAACUGGUGAGUAACACGUGGGAAACCUGCCCAGAAGCGGGGGAUAACACCUGGAAACAGAUGCUAAUACCGCAUAACAACUUGGACCGCAUGGUCCGAGUUUGAAAGAUGGCUUCGGCUAUCACUUUUGGAUGGACCCGCGGCGUAUUAGCUAGAUGGUGGGGUAACGGCUCAUCACGGCAAUGAUACGAAGCCGACCUGAGAGGGUAAUCGGCCACAUUGGCACUGAGACACGGC